AUAGCUUCUCAGCCUUUUGGCUAAGAUCAAGUGUAGCAUCUGUUCUUAUCAUUUUAAUAUCUGAUACAUCCUCUAUCUGAGGACAAUAUAUUAAAUGGAUUUUUGGAGCAGGCUCC
ensembl:snRNA U2 U2 spliceosomal RNA